rnacentral:rRNA from 1 species
AUGGGGUGUUUCCGGCGAUGUAGGAAUGGACAAGGAGAUGAAACAACAGCUACAACAACGAGAAACAACAAGAAACAAGCCCGCCACUAUUUGGCUUCUGCUUGUGCUAACAAUAAUCUAAGCAGUGAACUAGUAUAUGAUAGUAAAGCUAGCCUUGGACGUUAUUGGUCCCGCUCAUUAUUUUUUCCAGCCUCGGAAACACCUUCAGAAAUAGCAGGAUGGGUAGCCUCACCCUUCAUCAGCAGGCUAGUUGAUAAGGUGUGCUCCUAUGCUGGAGAUCAGGGGCAAAAUACAACGGAAAAACUAAGAAUCGUGGAGAAGAAACUAUCAUCAAUCCAAAUAACGUUGAGCAUAGCUGAGAGAGUGCAAGCUAGGAACACAACCAUGGGAAGCUGGCUACAGAGAAUCAAAGAUGCUGCUUUUCAGGCUGAGGAUGUUCUUGAUUCAUUUCACUGUCUAGUUCUUCAAGCACAAGAUGAAGACAAGGGCAAGGUUAGUUCUGUUACUUCACCCACAGCUGGUUCUUCCUCUACAUCCACAACCGUCACCACCACUGCUUCUACCAUCACUAGCAGCGGCUCAGCGGUAAAACAGCCGAUUUGUGUACGCAAGCGCUUCCAUUUCUCCGAUGAACAUAUCAACGAGUUAAUUUCUGCAGUGGAUAGAUUAGUUGAGAUUGAAAGUGAGAUGCCCAUGUUCCUGAAGUUAGUGGAGCCAGAGGACAAGAGAACAGACCAACCCAUUCAGUUGCGGACAACAACCUCCAUGCAAGGCCUCUCAAAGUUUUUUGGUCGAGUUAAUGAAGAGAAACACCUAGGGCGAUUACUUACCCAGGUAAACGAACAAUCCAGUCAGCCAUAUGAUGUUAUAUCAAUUGUUGGCAUUGGUGGUGUUGAAAAUUUUGAUGUCGGACGUCUAACAAAAGAAAUGGUACAGUCGGGUAAUCUCCCCAUAUGUGCUGACUUGAAAAGCAUCAGCAGUUUAGAUCAAGCUCAAUGGAUACUUGAAGAAAAGCUGAAAGGGAAAAGGAUUUUGAUAGUCCUUGAUGAUGUAUGGAAUGAAUUUAGCAGCCAAUGGGAGAACUUAUGCAAACCCCUGCAGUUUGCUGGUAAGGGAAGCAAACUUUCAUUCAUUGAGAAGGUAUCCAACCAAGAGGACCACUAUGUAGUUCACAACUUGAUACAUGAUUUUGCAGAGUCAGUCUCCAAUGGAGAGUACUUCCGAAUAGAUGAUGACUUUGAGAAGAAUUCAAGAAAUGUAUGUAUUCCGAGAAAUGUUCGUCACCUAUAUGUCACUGCAAGCAAUAUCUUGUACAUGAGCUUGGAAGAAUUCAAAGAAUCAAAAAGAAAUCUGAGAAGCUUAAUAAUAAGCAAUGCACAAGAAGGUUCUUCCAGCAAAAGGAUCGCCUCGUCAAACUUCAACCACGUUCUUGAUCAGACACUCCAAGAGCUAAGAAGCUUAAGGGUCUUAGUACUGCACAAUCCUGAUGGUAUUCUCCCAGAAAAUAUCGGUCAUUUGGAACACCUUAGGUAUUUAAACAUUCAUGAAAGUAGGAGCUUUGUCAAUGUCCCCAAGUCAUUAUUCAAACUCUACCAUUUACAAGGGUUGAGUCUGCAAACUCAAGAUAGGAUCAUGAAAAAGGAACUCCAAGAGGGCUUAAGUAGGUUGACCCAGUUAAGAUACUUGAAGGCUCAGAAGAAAACAAUUUCAGGCAUAGAAUUGAUUGGCAGGCUAAGAUCUCUCAAGGAAUUAGAGGAGUACGAAGUGGGGAGUAACAUGAAGCACAACAUAUGUCAACUGGGAGAGUUGGAUGAACUUCAAGGGAAGCUAACCAUAACAAAUCUUCAGAAUGUAAGAUGCAGGGAAGAAGCAAAUGGGGCAAAAUUAUUUAAGAAGAAGAACCUGAACAAGCUAACACUCUGGUGGAAUCAUCUUAAACAUAGCAUCACCAGUAGCGACCAUGAGAGCGUGUUUGAAGGAUUAAAACCAAAUCGCAACUUGAGAGAACUUUGUGUCAAACAUUACAUGGGAAUCAAGUCUCCUGUUUGGCUGUCCUCUGAAUACUUAUCCAACAUUCACCACAUUGAACUGCUCUCCUGCCAUAACUGGGAGAUCCUUCCACCUUUUGGGAGCUUACCCUUCCUGAGGAUAUUAAAGAUAAUGCAUUUGAAGAAACUGGAAAAUAUUGAUUCUGGAUUCUAUGGCAAAGCUGCAGAGGCAUUUCCAUCACUACAAGAGCUUCUAUUUGAAGGCAUGACUCAGUGGAAAGGAUGGUCAGGCGUUGAGAACAACCAGCAUGCAUUUUCUCGCCUGCGUGACAUCCGUAUCAAGAAAUGUAAUGAGUUAAUGGGGCCAUUGCCGUUGCCACCAUCAGUCAACAAAAUCAAAAUUUCAGUAUCUGAUUUGACCUCUAAGAAUAUAACCAGUUGUGAACCUGAAGAUACAGCUGAUGUCAACACAUUCUUCAGUGUUCAGCUUUCCCUGGACGGUUUGGAAUUUCUCAUUAGAUCUCUUCAAACAAGCAGCCUAGCCACCGUUCAUGUGCUGGAUAUCUCAUGCGACUACCUGGAGGCUCUUGACAAGGCUCAUGAGGAAUGGCUGCAACAACUCACUUCAGUGAAGGAACUUCACUUCACUGGCUGCCUAGAAUUGACAUCACUGCCAUCCAACAUGAUUCUUCUCACAUCUCUUGAGUCUCUGUACAUAGAGCAAUGUCCAAAACUUGAGUUGCUUCCCCUGAUGGGUUUGCCUCUUUCCCUGAACAAACUCACUGUCAUAAGAUGCCGGAAAACAUUUGGUCAGCUCUGCUCUGAGAUCAACACAAGUAACAACACAACGGUCAUUGUGAAGGAACCAUUAAAUGCAACAAAAAGAGCAAGGACAUGA